rnacentral:rRNA from 1 species
GACAGAGGUGCCGAGCGUAGGCGGAAUCACUGGGCUUAAAGCGUGUGUAGGCGGAUCUGUAAGUACCUUGUGAAAAUCCCACGGCUCAACCGUGGAACUGCUUGGUAUACUGCGGGUCUGAGCCACCUAGGGGCAAGUGGAACAAACGGUGGGAGCGGUGAAAUGCGUAGAUAUCGUUUGGAACGCCAAUGGUGAAAACAACUUGCUGGGGGGUGUG